UUGGGUCCGGCAUAACCCCGGGAAACUGGGGAUAAUUCCGGAUAACGCACAUAUGCUGGAAUGCUUUAUGCGUAAAAUGGAUUCGUCUGCCCAAGGAUGGGUCUGCGGCCUAUCAGGUAGUANUGGGUGUAAUGUACCUACUAGCCAACAACGGGUACGGGUUGUGAGAGCAAGAGCCCGGAGAUGGAUUCUGAGACAUGAAUCCAGGCCCUACGGGGCGCAGCAGGCGCGAAAACUUUACAAUGCGGGAAACCGUNAUAAGGGGACACCGAGUGCCAGCAUCAUAUGCUGGCUGUCCGGGUGUGUAAAAUACACCCGUUAGCAAGGGCCGGGCAAGACCGGUGCCAGCCGCCGCGGUAACACCGGCGGCCCGAGUGGUGAUCGUGAUUAUUGGGUCUAAAGGGUCCGUAGCCGGUUUGGUCAGUCCUCCGGGAAAUCUGACGGCUCAACCGUUAGGCUUUCGGGGGAUACUGCCAGGCUUGGAACCGGGAGAGGUAAGAGGUACUACAGGGGUAGGAGUGAAAUCUUGUAAUCCCUGUGAGACCACCUGUGGCGAAGGCGUCUUACCAGAACGGGUUCGACGGUGAGGGACGAAAGCUGGGGGCACGAACCGGAUUAGAUACCCGGGUAGUCCCAGCCGUAAACGAUGCUCGCUAGGUGUCAGGCAUGGCGCGACCGUGUCUGGUGCCGCAGGGAAGCCGUGAAGCGAGCCACCUGGGAAGUACG
rnacentral:rRNA from 1 species